GUCUAUAGCCAUACCACCUUGAACAAGCCCAAUCUUGUCUGAUAUAGGAAUCUAAGUAGAGUUGGGCCUGGUUAGUAUUUGGAUAGGAGACUAUUAUUC
rnacentral:rRNA from 1 species